GUGGCUAUAGUUCAACGGUAGAACAGCGGGUUGUGGUCCCGUUAGCCUGGGUUCAACUCCCAGUAGCCACC
rnacentral:tRNA from 1 species